CAAUUUCAAAAGUUUUGACGUAGACUAUAAUAACAAUCUGCAUUAUUGUUUUCUUAACAAAUAUCGGACGAGUAUAGAUUAUUGAAUUGAUGCAACAGGUUGUUUAAAAUGAAAGAAAACUUAUAAAAAGAGCGGGAACAUACCAAGAUUGCACUAAAAUUACUUAAUAUGUACUAACAAGACAGAAAAUCGACCCAAAAAUAAGAGAGAUAACAAACAAUCCAUAGUUGACUCGAAACUGAACAAAUAACACCAGUUCAACCAAUCAUAACGUCAUUAUCUACCUGAAGUGUAAUAAACAAGAAUAAUGAGCAAAUACAAAGCCGUUUUCUUUUUACAUUGAAUUGUAUCCAUCUAAUAAUCUCGUCAGUUUACAUAUAAAAUAUUUUCAAAAAUUACACCCAUUACUUCAAAAUUAAGGGGCAGCCAUUUAACGAUGGAAGUAUUGAUAUACCUGUUAUUUUUGACAUCGUAUAAAAAAGAAGAUGUGGUAUGAUUGCCAAUAAGACAACUCUCCAAAAGAGACCAAAAUGACACAGAAAUUAACAACUAUAGGUCACCGUACGGCCUUUAACAAUGAGCAAAGCCCAUACCGCAUAGUCAGCUAUAAAAGGCCUCGAAAUGACAAAAAAUGUAAAACAAUUUAUCACUGUUUCUAUGAUAAAAGGUACAAAUUGUAAUUUUGAUAACAUAUAUGCAACACAUUAC
rnacentral:lncRNA from 1 species